UACGAAGGGGGCUAGCGUUGUUCGGAAUUAUUGGGCGUAAAGGGUGCGUAGGCGGUUCCGCAAGUCCUGUGUGAAAUCUUCGGGCUCAACUCGAAGUCUGCACGGGAAACUGCGGGGCUUGAGUGUGGGAGAGGUGAGUGGAAUUCCCGGUGUAGCGGUGAAAUGCGUAGAUAUCGGGAAGAACACCCGUGGCGAAGGCGGCUCUCUGGGACGGUACUGACGCUGAGACGCGAAAGCGUGGGGAGCGAACAGG
rnacentral:rRNA from 1 species